ACAACGUGUUUUUCCCAAGCAGAUCUUGCCACUCUCACGUAAGCAUACAAAACUAUAUGAUAUACAUGUAUAUCAUAUAGUUUUGUAUGCUUACGUGAGAGUGGCAAGAUCUGCUUGGGAAAAACACGUUGUCU
rnacentral:miRNA from 1 species